AUGAGCGCCCGCGGCGGGGGCUGCGAGGGGCUGAUUUCCAGGCCCCACGGAGGCAAAACGCAAACCCAACGCCCCUUCUGCUGCAAGUGGCGGCUGGUGUCGGGUUGGGGGAGAGCCUCCGUGGACAGCAGGCCGUCCGAGGGGCUGGGGCGGAGGAGCGGGCCGAGGGCCGGGGGGUGUGCUCGUGGGAGGCCAGCGGGACAGGCCACCGCUGGGGCCAGGUCACCCCCGGCCUGCCGAUCCGCCGUUCUGGAGGAGGGUGCCGGCCCCUGCCGCUCCUCCCACGUGGCCCCUCGGUCCAGGCCAGGAAAUCUUCCAGAUUCUACAGCCAGACAGGCGCUCUCCUCUCCAGGUGCCCAAGACCCGUCCUUGGGCCGGGCACCCCAAUGCCCAGACUGCAGCCCCUCCCCUCAACAGCUGUCCCCAGAGUCACGCCAUCUCCCACUCCUGUGCCCCACUGCCAACACCUUCUGGGGCUGCACGUGGGGCCCACAAACUCUAAAGGGCUGUGGGCACAGUGCUAAGAGCGAUGGCAGCAGCACCGACCUGGUGGGCGACUGCAGCCUGGGGCGGGGGGAGCCCCUCUCAGAGGCCUGCUCCCACCUCCACCGCAGCCCCCGCCACCUGCUUCCUCACCAGGUCGCCGCCCUGCCGCAGCACACAGUAGGUGCACACGGGGUGUUUGCAGGCUUCGCGGACAACGGGAUGAGGCAGGGAACCCGGCCUGUGGGUGCUACUGUGGCUCCCCGACCCCCGGCGGCUGCGUCCGUGCUCUGGCACCCCCGAAUCCCUACGCCGGGCCCGAGCGGACACUUGAGGGGCCAGACACAGACCCACCUGCGCCCAGAGGCCGGGCUGCCCCAGCGAGGACUGCAACGUCAAGGCUGCUCCCGAGGACAGCGGAGCCCCUGCCUGUGCGGCCAGGCCCUGCACCUGCAUCGAGAAACAGGCCCCUGGAGGGGAGCCCCCUGCCCUGCCCGCAGGGUCGCGCUCCCCCACCUCGGCCCUGCAGGCAUUCUGAGCAUCACCCACUCACGCAUCCACUCCGUCCCCAGGAGCGGAGCUGGCUCUAUGGGGACGUGCUGGGGUCACCCCAGGAGACACACUGAUUAUUAUCUAACCCGAGCCUGGGGAGGGCCGGGGGCGCAGGUGCAGAGCCCAGGCUGGGAGGGCGGGGCGGGGGAGGAGGGUCCGGGGAUGCCCCGCUCCCGGCUCAGGUGA
rnacentral:lncRNA from 1 species